CAGCAGCCACGGGAAUACGUAGGGUGCGAGCGUUAAUCGGAAUUACUGGGCGUAAAGCGGGCGCAGACGGUUACUUAAGCAGGAUGUGAAAUCCCCGGGCUCAACCUGGGAACUGCGUUCUGAACUGGGUAACUAGAGUGUGUCAGAGGGAGGUAGAAUUCCACGUGUAGCAGUGAAAUGCGUAGAGAUGUGGAGGAAUACCGAUGGCGAAGGCAGCCUCCUGGGAUAACACUGACGUUCAUGCCCGAAAGCGUGGGUAGCAAACAGGAUUAGAUACCCGGGUAGUCCCUGUCUCUUAUAC
rnacentral:rRNA from 1 species